rfam:Hordeum vulgare subsp. vulgare, WGS project CAJW01000000 data, contig: morex_contig_123170
AUCAUAGUCCGUCCGUCCGGAAAUACUUGUCAUAGGAAAGUAUGUAUCUAGAUGUAUUAUAAUUUUAGACACAUCCAUUUUUAUACAUUAGUGUGACAAGUAAUUCUGGACGAAGGGAGUACUAU